rnacentral:rRNA from 1 species
AAUAUUGGACAAUGGGGGAAACCCUGAUCCAGCCAUGCCGCGUGUGUGAAGAAGGUCUUCGGAUUUUAAAGCACUUUAAGUUGGGAGGAAGGGUUGUUGGCUAAUAUCCAGCAAUUUUGACGUUACCGACAGAAUAAGCACCGGCUAACUCUGUGCCAGCAGCCGCGGUAAUACAGAGGGUGCAAGCGUUAAUCGGAAUUACUGGGCGUAAAGCGUGGAUAGGUGGGUCCGGAAGGAGGGGGUGAAAUCCCCGGGCUUAAACUGGGAACUGCUUUCCUAACUGCCUGGCUAGAGUAAGGUAGAGGGUAGUGGAAUUUCCUGUGUAGCGGUGAAAUGCGUAGAUAUAGGAAGGAACACCAGUGGCGAAGGCGACUACCUGGACUGAUACUGACACUGAGGUGCGAAAGCGUGGGGAGCAAAC